AUGAUUCCUCGUAUUCUUCCAUCGUUUCCUCCCUUUUUUAAUCGCCGUUCAUGUGUUGUGGAUGUGUCUACUAAUGUGCCAUCUACUUCUGAUGUGUCAUCUUCCUCGUCUCAGUCUACUUAUGGCUUGGGUCCUCCUUUGCUUCCACUUGUUCAUUACCUUGGUUUUCCAAGCGCCGACCCUGCUGUUCUUGAGUCGACUUCUUAUCGUGAAGCUGUUGUUCACUCUGAAUGGCAGUUUGCGAUGGUAGAGGAGCUUCUACUCUUGGGCGCACCGGCACGUCUGAUCUUGUUUCUCUUCCUCCCUGUGUCCGUCCCAUCACUUGUAAGCGGUUCUACAAGGUUAAGACUCGCUCUGAUGGUUUUCUUAAGCGUUAGAAAACUUGUCAUGUGGCUUGUGGCUUUCAGCAGGAGCAUGGUCGUGAUUACGAUGAGACUUUUGCUCCUGUGGCCCAUAUGGCCACUGUUCGCACACUUCUUGUCGUGGCCUCUGUUCGCCACAGGUUUGUUUCUCAGCUUCAUGUUAAGACUGCCUUUCUUAAUGUCUUUUGUGAUGCCACUACCAACAAACUGUUUAUUAAGAAACAGUAAAGCUGCCCCUAUUACAGCACCGAACAACGCCCAAGUCCCCCGCGCCCCUUCUCUUGCUUGA
rnacentral:rRNA from 1 species